rnacentral:misc_RNA from 1 species
UGGUUCUGGCAUCGAUGAAGAACGCAGCGAAAUGCGAUAAGUAAUGCGAAUUGCAGAAUUUCCGUGAGUCAUCGAAUCUUUGAACGCACAUUGCGCCCUCUGGUAUUCCGGAGGGCAUGCCUGUUCGAGCGUCAUUAUCCUCCCUCAAAUCCUCUGGGUUUGGUGUUGGACCGAGUUGGGGGGCUACCACCUCCAACUGGUCUCAAAGACAAUGACGGCGUCCGUGGGACCCUCUUCGCACUGAGCUUUUUAACGAGCACGCGUCGAGUUGCAAGGUCUCAGGGGCCCGGUCACCCUUUAUCUCUUCUAGGUUGACCUCGGAUCAGGUAGGAAUACCCGCUGA